CAAACUUACGUGUUAGGCAACAGGCAGCAUGCGGACUUACCUGUGUGUCUGCAUUUCAAUUACAUAAUUUUGUCUAAAAAAGUUUAA
ensembl:ncRNA T24B8.20 ncRNA